UACAGAGGUCUCAAGCGUUGUUCGGAUUCAUUGGGCGUAAAGGGUGCGUAGGUGGCGUCGUAAGUCAGGUGUGAAAUCUCGGAGCUUAACUCCGAAACUGCAUUUGAUACUGCGGUGCUUGAGGACUGGAGAGGAGACUGGAAUUUACGGUGUAGCAGUGAAAUGCGUAGAGAUCGUAAGGAAGACCAGUGGCGAAGGCGGGUCUCUGGACAGUUCCUGACGCUGAGGCACGAAGGCCAGGGGAGCAAACGGG
rnacentral:rRNA from 1 species